ACGAACGCUGGCUGCGUGCUUCACACAUGCAAGUCGAACGGAAAGGCCCUGCUUUUGUGGGGUGCUCGCGUGGCGAACGGGUGAGUAACACGUGAGUAACCUGCCCUUGACUUUGGGAUAACUUCAGGAAACUGGGGCUAAUACCGGAUAGGAGCUCCUGCUGCAUGGUGGGGGUUGGAAAGUUUCGGCGGUUGGGGAUGGACUCGCGGCUUAUCAGCUUGUUGGUGGGGUAGUGGCUUACCAAGGCUUUGACGGGUAGCCGGCCUGAGAGGGUGACCGGCCACAUUGGGACUGAGAUACGGCCCAGACUCCUACGGGAGGCAGCAGUGGGGAAUAUUGCACAAUGGGCGGAAGCCUGAUGCAGCAACGCCGCGUGCGGGAUGACGGCCUUCGGGUUGUAAACCGCUUUCGCCUGUGACGAAGCGUGAGUGACGGUAAUGGGUAAAGAAGCACCGGCUAACUACGUG
rnacentral:rRNA from 1 species